GAGAAAUACUGUCAUUAGGACAAAUGUGUCAUUCCCUGGUAUUCCCCCUGGAGGUAUAAGCCCAAUGAACGCAUAAUAAGGUCAUGGUUUCUCCUUCAAGUGCAGUGUUUUUUUGAGCACUGGCACAAUGCCGAGAAGGUCCCAUUGUUCAGGGUGAUCAGUGUACUUAAUGGCAGAUGGCUCUGAGCAAGUGCUUUGCUUUGCCUGGCCUCCCUGCCUGACACGGGGCUGCUGCUGGGGGGAACGGCUCACAGAAGCCCGGCUGCAGCUGCUACUGCUGCCCUGUCACCAGCAGAGAAUGGCAGAGAAUGGAUGUGGGCUCUCCAGACCUGCAGUUAGCACCUCUUCACCUAAAAGUUAUUUCGUCUGUUUUUUUUUCCCUACACAGCCUCAGUGGGGUCUGUAUGUGAACACGCUGCAUUAAAAGCUUGCUUCCAAAAGAAGAACAGCAGGGUAUAGACAGCCUGUGUCGAGCUCAUCCCUAGGGUGAUAGUUCUGAAGGAAGGCAGGGAUGCUGUGAACCAGCUCUGGACAGAGCCCAGGAGAUGCUUCAACCCUGCGAGCUCCAGGUUAAGGAGUGGGUUGGUCCUUCAUGAUUGACCUUCUCUGCCCUAGAUAAAGUGAAAUCUCAUUUUAAGUAUGUUUAUGGAGAGGGUGUCUGGGGAGGAGGGGAAGUCUUUCAUCCUCAGUGAGCUCCUCUCUCAUUUUUGUGGCCAAAAGAAAGCUGAAGGAUCCCUGGGUUUGUGACUCACAACACCUAGAUUGAAGUCAAGAUCUGAAUCAGUUCUGGCAUGGAUAUACGUAGACUUCCUUUCGUGCCAGAAUCUCCCUGGAUUUUAUCUUGUAUUUAACCAACACUGUACUUGUGUGGUUGUGUUCUCUGUAUAAACUCUUCAGUGGAGCAGUCAGAUACGAUCAGAAAGCCAAUAGCACAGCUUCCAAAUCUUUUUCUUCUUUUUUUUAACUUGUCAAGUCAUACAAACCAAUGAUGCUUAAGAGCAGUAUUUCUUGCUCUCCGAAACAUGUAUUAAAUGAGCUGAAGUAGACAUCAUUUUAUAGCCCAAUAGUUUAAACUAGUGUAUCAUUUAAAUUUUGCUGGGCCUGAAGCAAGCCAAGAUGACAUCAGUGUUUCCUUCCCAAAGGCCAGCAGUGAGCCCACAGUGUCUGAAUGCGUGAUCCGCUGACCUCAUGUUUCCUUGUCUUUCUCUCCUCUUCUGCUAAUAAAUUUACAACUGCAUUUUGUAUCAUGUGAGAUGAGAUGAUACAUUGUGAGCAAACGUAUCUGGGGUGCUGGAAAAGGCUUUUCAAAAGCACAUUUUUCUCAUUUUAGAUGUCCUUUUACUACUCCAAUGGUUUUGUUUAAAAAAAAAAAAAGCCUAAAAGUUCUUAAGUUGUUCUUGCCAGCUGCAGGCGAGAGACCUCCACAGCUAUUGGUAAACAUCCAAACACUGACUGAUCUCUGCAGUGGUCUGGGUCCGUGCAGGAAACAGGAGUUCUCCGUACUCCUUGUGCAGUGAAGCUCACACCGAGAGCUGCCGUUGCUCCUGCUGUUGCCUCCAGGUUUUGCUGCCUGCCAGGAGAAAGCAACAUCGUUUGUCAGACAGCAUCCGUGCUGGCUUUUCUGACAGCCACGCCGGCUCUGUGACUUCUGGUGGUGGCUGUGGUGGCAGCAGAGCCCGGAGGGCAGCUGGCCCUCAGCACCCGGCGUGGCUCUGCAUCUCACAGGUGGGACGGCCUCACUGCAGUCAGCCCUGAUGGGUGCUCCGCAGGUAUCAGUAGCACCAGCGUGCUGUAUUGGACUAACAGGAUAAUUCCAUUAGUGGGUACCAGCAGUAGUUGUUAUCCUCUUAGGGGGAUUUUCUGCUCACAGAUGAAACACAACACAAUGAAAUGGGAUUAGAAUUGUAGUCAUAUGAAUAUUAAAACAAACACGAGAGCAUGGAGAGAAGCAGCUGCUAAGGCAGUGCAGGGCGGUGUGUUUGAGCUAUGGGUACCACUGCAAUGAGCUGAUUGAGUUUUUUCAACCUGGUUGACUUCAAGCUUUACAGAAUGGUAAACUGAAAUUAAAAAUCAUAUUUUUGGAUUUGCUGAGCAAAAUAAUACUCUCAAAGGUGAUCUCAAAAGACUUUUGCACAUAAAGUAUGAUAGUCCCUAAAGUAACCAAAACUAAGCUGCAGUGUAAGCGUCUGCAGAGAUUUCUGAUGGUGAUGUGCUAUCACAGAAGAGUGACAUGCAAAAUGCAGCAGAGGCAGGCAAUCAGAUUAUCCGUUUUCUUUUCUAGCACAGUGAGAUUUACCAGGUGUGCAGCAGUGCUUUUUUUUUUUUUUUUUGCUGAGCAGACAGUUGUGAUUGCUGCUCGUGAUGGUCACGGAGCUGUGUGAGCUCCCGGCUGGAGGCUGAGCGCAGCCCUGCUGUGAGCCGGUGCCGGCCGAAUUUCCCUCUGUGGGAAUGGGGAUUUUGAUCUCAUGUUGGGCAUUUCGUGCAGUCAGCACUCCUGUAAUAACAGCAAGAUUGCACCGAGAUGCGGUUUUAGAUUUCAGUUCAUGCAAUUGGGAGGUUGUUGUUCUGGUUUGUGUUUUUUUUUUUUUUGUUUGUUUGUUUUUUGAGGAAUUGCAGUGUUUGUCCCAUUCGGCUUCAGCCCAACCCCACGCGGGGGGUGGGACCGCGUGCAAAGGCACCUCUGUCAGCUGCUGGGGAAAGAGGAGUUCCCUGUAUGGAGAUUUGGGUCUGACGUUCUGUAAAUAAGCCUUUUUUUCUUCUCAGCUCUUGAUGAGAAAGAUAUACAGCAUAAAUAUAGCGUCUCUGUGAUAAGGGUAAUAACAAAAUAGAAAUGUUAAAGCUACCUGAGAAGAAACAUCAAUCUCAGUAGCUGAGCUAUAGGGACAGAGGUGUGCAAGGAGGACGGAAAAAAGCAUCAAGUCUGCAGCAAGCGUUCCUCCGUCGCUGCUCUGUCCGGGCUGUGUGGCCGCGGCGGGUCUGCGGCGUGCUGUGCUGUGCUAUGCCAUGCUGUGCUGUGUUGUGCUGUGCUGUGUUGUGCUGUGCUGUGUUGUGCUGUGCGGUGCGUAAAACAGAGACACGGAGCGGCGGGUGAGG
ensembl:lncRNA